rnacentral:rRNA from 1 species
AUACGUAGGGGGCGAGCGUUGUCCGGAAUGAUUGGGCGUAAAGGGCGCGUAGGCGGCCCGGUAAGUCUGGAGUGAAAGUCCUGUUUUUAAGAUGGGAAUUGCUUUGGAUACUGUCGGGCUUGAGUGCAGGAGAGGUAAGUGGAAUUCCCAGUGCAGCGGUGAAAUGCGUAGAGAUUGGGAGGAACACCAGUGGCGAAGGCGACUUACUGGACUGUAACUGACGCUGAGGCGCGAAAGUGUGGGGAGCAAACAGGAUUAGAUACCCUGGUAGUCCACACUGUAAACGAUGAAUGCUAGGUGUAGGGGGUAUCGACCCCUUCUGUGCCGCAGUCAACACAAUAAGCAUUCCGCCUGGGGAGUACGGCCGCAAGGUUGAAACUCAAAUGAAUUGGCGGGG